CUUUUUUUAAUUGCGUUGUGCACUGCUGGGCCACAAAUGAGAGCAGAAUAACACAAUCGAACUGCAACAUCAAACACACAGUACAACGCAACUAGCGAAUUGGGAUCUGUUACUACGAAUAUUUCAUAAAAAGGACAAAACAAAAACUACAUUUAUGAGUAGUUAGAAUCGAUCUAAUCAAAUACUAAAAGAAUCAGUUAUGAAAUCACUAACAAACCAAGUCAGUUAAAUGAAAUAGGGUAUAGAAAAUUAUUAAUUGUGGUAGAAUUAAUUGUAAUUUUUUUUUUUAUUCUGAUCGCUACUUUUUAAUGUAUGUAGAUGCUUUUCUAAAUGUUUUGAUUUAGUAGCAAUGUCUAACAUUUUUAAUCAUGCCGCUUCCUCUUAAUAGCGUAGCCUGUUUCGUGCAAAAUAUUCCUGAUUUAUUCACAAAGUAUUACCCCUUUAAUCUACUAAUUUUCUUUGAUAAAUGAAGGGUAGGCAAAGUUAGUGACUCCAAAUUAGAAGAGAUGUUCAUCGAUGGACUUGUUCCUCUCCUUAAUCGCCAAUCUUCAGAUGUGUCCAAACACCUGGCUUGCAGUUUUUUGAAUGGCUCUUUUCAAGAUCAGUCCCACAUACUAUACAGUAUAUGCCCAGAUGUAAGGAAGGAGAGAAGAACCUGUGUUAUUUUUUUCUUUCAAUCGUGAUCUACUCUACAUGGAUCUGCUGAGAUGGACUAUUGGAGGAUUACACACAUCUACAGACUAUCUUAUGACCACCUGGUACAAACAUCCAUUUGUUACCUAAUUGUUCUACUUGAUCUUUAAGACUUCUUGCACAGUUAAUCUCUUUUUUGAAUGAUUUCUUGUUAAUGAAGGUUGCUUGAUUCCUUGAGGGUAAGUGGACUGCUGUAAUUGAUCUCUGUUUGGUAAUGCAGAAGCUGAUGUCCAUGUUUACUGACUUGUCAUGCUUGUUGCCACAAGCUAAAUUAGAGUUUGCUAAAGGCGCUUGAUGCAUGAUUUUACCCAAUAGCAGUGGUUUGGCAUUUAUUUCGCUUGUUUGUCUGCCAAUUUAUUGCUUGUACAAUACAGUAGUUCCUGUGUUUAAAUAGCAUUUUUUUUUAAUUAAUGUGCUACCAAUUAGUGGUUGUAUCUAGCUGUGCAAACUAACACAUUUAUUAACACUUUAGGCAUAACAUAAUAAACUUGUUGGAAAAAAAUGACAUUAAAUAAAUGAAAAUUAAAAGUUUA